GGGGCAAUGGCGCAGCUGGGAGCGCGUUAGACUGAAGCAAAACUUCAGCCAUCACAUGGAAUCUAAAGGUCACCGGUUCAAUCCCGGUUUGCCCCA